rnacentral:rRNA from 1 species
AGUGAACGCUGGCGGUAGGCCUAACACAUGCAAGUCGAACGGCAGCACAGUAAGAGCUUGCUCUUACGGGUGGCGAGUGGCGGACGGGUGAGGAAUACAUCGGAAUCUACUUUUUCGUGGGGGAUAACGUAGGGAAACUUACGCUAAUACCGCAUACGACCUACGGGUGAAAGCAGGGGAUCUUCGGACCUUGCGCGAUUGAAUGAGCCGAUGUCGGAUUAGCUAGUUGGCGGGGUAAAGGCCCACCAAGGCGACGAUCCGUAGCUGGUCUGAGAGGAUGAUCGGCCACACUGGAACUGAGACACGGUCCAGACUCCUACGGGAGGCAGCAGUGGGGAAUAUUGGGCAAUGGGCAGAAGCCUGAUCCAGCCAUACCGCGUGGGUGAAGAAGGCCUUCGGGUUGUAAAGCCCUUUUGUUGGGAAAGAAAAGCAGCAGGUUAAUACCCCGCUGUUCUGACGGUACCCAAAGAAUAAGCACCGGCUAACUUCGUG